GUAAUAAGGUCACUUUGAUAAGAAAUUUGUGAGAAAACUGGACGUGCACUGUGGAGCACAUUCUUCUGCAAGCAAAUCAAAGUUGCUUGCCAAGCAAAAUUAAGUGUAACAAAGCACGAUGUGUUUUGUUUAGUGGUUUUUCGUUUGCAAUUAUAUACAAGAUUACAAGCAGAUGUUUAGGGCGUUUUAUUGCUUAUGGAGCUGUCUAGUUUUUCUCUUUUAAUGAUUACAUGUGAGGAAAGGAAACGGAGGACCAACCUGGACAGCGACCAUUGGUUUUAUGGUGUCACGGUGGUGGCUGGUGACUGGUGCUCCACAAUGGUGGCUAGAGACGGCGGUGCAGUAACAACUGGUAUGGCAUUAGAGGGAUGAGGCCGCGUCCUGAAAGAAAUUAACAGAGGUGUGGAAAGGGACUCUGCAACACAACUUUUUGAUGUUUUGGUUGCAUCUAAAAUUGAUUACAUAAUGGUAUUCGAAAACCAAUCAACAAAAUUUUAAAACCAAAGAAUUAUUAAUUAUCUAAAACCAAACUUCUUUAUAUUGAGUUUAGUUUUGUUCAAAAUGUAGUUCUUAUUGUUUUCAAAACAUAUAUAUACACUAUUAUUUGACGUUGCGCAUAUUUUUAACAAUAUUUAAUAUUUGAUAAAAACACAUAUCUUAUAAAAUUAAUCAAAUUUAUAUACUAUAUUUUGAAUUAAAAUAAUAAUAAUUACAAUAAAUAAAUGACAAAAAAUCAUUAAAAAAAUUAUAUGUAGAUAUACUUAUGCGUUAUAUUAAUUCAAAUUACGAUUAAAAAUUUUUAGGAAUCAAUUUGACUAUAAAUGCAAUAUGUUGAAAAUAAAUAAAUAAUUUAUAUGAAAAAACAUUAUAUAAUAAUUAUAAUAAAUACUGCAACAUUUAUAUAUAAUAAAUAAUUUAAAUUUUUAAAUAAAUUUCUAAGAGUUGAAAAGUGGAAUUAACAUUAUGUCCUAAUCAUGUUUCUAUGGUUUGUAAAAGCAUAUAUAGUUCCUUCUGCUGCAGAAGUCGUUCUUAGAGCAGUUUGAGAUUCUAUCAGGUGAGGGAAGUUAAUUAUCAUUAUUUUCAAAUUCUAAUAUGAUUAGAAUUGUGUGUGCAUGUUUGAUGGUCUGUUAUUGAUUUAAAUUAUUGAUUUUAAUUGAUGGAAUCAUGGUUAAAAUCUAUUUUGAGUUUUAUGAUGGUGUGUUGUUUGAAAUGUUUGAAUUGGUCUAUAACUAAUAGUCCGCUAUAGGGAUGUUUUGUUGGGACAGCUAGUUGAAAUUGUGGUUGUGUUUGUCGGUCUGAAAUGGAUGAAAUUUAAGUCUUGGUUAGUUGAAAAUACUGUUGAAAUCUUGUUUGGGAAAUAUGAUUGUGUGAUGUUUGAAUUGGUUUAUUUAAAGUUGAACGGGUGGAAUGGGUAUUUGAUGAGAUGAGCAAAUUGGUAUUCACUUUGACACUGAAGCAUGUUUUCAGAUCAAUCAUUGAGUUAGAAAUACCAAUUUGGUUGUUUGAUUUGGUACAUAGUUCAUCAAAUCACAAUUUGGGAAGCUGCAAAUUUUUAGUAUGGCGCUCAAUGCCAUAUUUCACUAUGAGCGGCCAAAAGUGCAAAUGGUCUUGCAUUGAGCGAUGAUAGGACACCACUGAACGCUAGUUACCAUUAUAGGUCUGGAACUAAAUUCAUUCUAAUUCGUUAAGCGACAGGUUGUUAGUUCCCUUCAUGUUGAGCGACACUCGAGUUUCUAAAUUGGAGCUUAUGAGUUCAAUCCCCUUUAAGUGUUCUCGAGAGUGUUUUAAUUGUUGUGAGGAGUUUCUCUCUAACUGUGCUCAAGCCAUCUCCGCAAUCGUGUUUGUAAAUGUUUCCUUCCCUCCCUCUUUAAUUUUAUUUCUUCUUUCCUUCAUGCUCUUUUAGUUCAUGUUUUUCUUUCAUUUUUACGUUCGUUCCUUGUUCUCGUUAGACUUGCUUUUGUUAUUACCUUAUGUUCUUUCAUCACUUUGCACUAUUUUCUUCUCUUCUUGCUCUCGUCAUUUUUCAUUUUUUUUACUAUGGAAUGUACUCUUAACAACAAUUUGUGGCCGACAUUUGAACAUUUUAUUUUAUUUAUGCAAUGCAAUCAUUAUCUGCUUUGUUUUAUAUGCAAGUUGAUGAUUUUCUACAAUUCUAUAAGAUAUGUUUGCUUAGCACAUGGGUGGAACCAUUUUCGUACAACGAUUAGGACAUCUGGUUAUACCUAUGAGACUCAAACAGUACAAAAUUGCAUCAUUUGAAAAACCGAGUAGCCACAAUGAUUUCAUAGACCUAUGUGUUAUUGAAAGAUAUGAUAUUUGUCGAGUCAUAUUGCUAGGCUUCUUUAGUCAAGAAGUCUAGCUAUCACUCAAAACAACACACUCUGUUAGGUUUAUGUAAUUGAAAACCUAAUUCUCUUCUCUCAUAAUUCACAAGAACACAAAACAGAAGAAUGAAUCGUAUUUCUUUCUUUAUUUGCUCAUUAACAGUAUCAAGAGUCAAUGUACAAGUAUGGAUAACAGCGAGAACCUAAUCUCCCUCCUCAGGCCAAUGUCCUGAAUAUACAAGUAAGAUUUAUCAUACCUUAAUAGACUAACAAUUAUUCUAUUUAUCAUACCUCCCAAAUAACUGUUAUUACAGUUAUGCUUUCCAUUGUUCAACCGAAUGGCUCUUGUUCAACCGAACGGUUCCUUCUCCCACUCCCUUAACUGUUCGGCGUUCACCUCAUGCCCAACCGUUCGGCUUUUGCCUCAUGCCCCCACUACAUGUGGUUGCUCGGCCCCUACUGCCUAUAGCCGUUCGGCUCCUUCCCCAUCACCCUUAACCGUUUGGUUUUUUCUUCUCUCACGUACUUUCCCGCCCCUAUCAUUCAAAAAUACAUUCCCAUACCUUCCAUUUGUAAUAAUCUAAUUCUCCUAAAAAAGGAAAAUAGAGAAACUAGGAAAUCUAGGAAAUUAAAAUAAAAUAAAAAAUUAUGUAUCUAUUUCCUCUAAUUAGGAAGAUUCUAAAGAUAUUAUCUCAAAUUACAACAAGAGUAAUUUCUCAAUUUAUGUUGGAUCAAAUUAAUUGUUACAAUUCAAAUAUUCCACUUCCAUUGUCUACAAAUGAAACAAUAUGUAAAGUCUAUCAUAUCUCAAGUCUGAAAGUCAUUUAGUAUUAUUUACAUUCCUAUUUGAGCUCUCAUAUAAAAUAAGUUAAACGAUCAUUGCACAGAUACACAUAAACAAGCAAACAAACGUAAUGGUGAGUUAACAUAAAAAAAAUAAUAAACACAUAACCAAACAACAACAACCACUCAAAAAUAUGAUAUCACCUGUGUUCUAACGAUUCACAAUUCGACCACGACAACAAACCAAUAUUUCCCCCAUCUUUCCCUCAUGGUACAUUACUUCCAAUGGUAUAACAAUUAUCAAACCAUACCACAUCAGGGGGUUGAGUAGUCACACCCACUCUUACUGUCUUAAUACAAUCGGAAGAGUGCUCCCUUCCACUGCUACUUGCAGGCGAAAGGAAGACCCCAACCUCGGGUAUCAAUACCAAACACAAACCAUAAUUGGGGGGUUGAGCGAUCCAACCCACUCUUACUGUCUCAAUACAGUCAAAAGAGUGCUCCCUCUCACUUACUUGCAAGCGAAAGGAAAACUCCAACCUCGAGUAUCAAUACCAAACAAAGUUGACUUCCAAUAAUUUGGACUAUUUCCUAUCCAAUCUCAACUCACUAUAAAGGAGUAUAUCCAUUGAUACCCAAAUAACAAUAUAUCAAAGCAAUUUGGACAAUCCAACCAUUCAAUAAAUUUACUAUACACACAUCCAAUCAUUCAAUAUUAUCCAACCGAGCAUUGCAUCCAUUCCAAAAUUUACAUUCAGUCAUAUCAAUUUAUAAUACUUCACCUAAUGCAAUCCAACGCAUAUCUCAUUCAUUAUUUCAAACAACUAACUAAUAAAACUUAAUAUAUUUUACAACCCAAAGACUUAAUCAAACUAAACAUCCAUUCCAAAUUUCCAAUUUACUCUUCUCAAAAACACCUUAUUAUACUAAAAUCACAAAGUGUUUUAGUGCAUAAUUUUAACUCAAACAUCAAGCAUUGGAUGCAGUAUUGUAUUUAAAAAGAAAAAAAAACAGCAAACAGUAAUAAUAGUGUUCCAAAACAGCACCAAACAGCAGAAUUUAUUAGUGUAAAACAGAAAGAAAAUAAUGCUGAAACAGUCCACAAUAGUACAGAAAAAAGCAAUGAUUUAAGUGCUGAAACAGCCAGCAAAGAAUGCAGAAACAGUAAAUAAAACACCAACAUUUUACACAGCACAUGCAACCAAAUUUCCCUUGCAUUUACCGUGAAACAGAAACAUAAGAUGUACAAAAUAGAUAAGUUUAUCAAGACAAGUUAAAUUACUUUCAUUCUAAAAAAAAUAGGAUGUUUAAAUGAUAUUAGUUCUAAACUGUACUUCUAGUUAAAUAACACCUUAUCUAGAAACACAUUCCAUUUCUUAUUCGUCUAAUUCUCCUAGGUUAAUUAAUCCAAAAUAGAUAUGUUCCUCACUUUUCCAACCCAGACAUCAGAUGAUCACACAAUUAGAUAACACAUACUCCAAAACAUUGCAUCUUCGUAACUACCAUUGGGACCCAAGAUAUUCUUAAACAAAAUAAGAGUUUGAUGAUGACCUAGACUCCAGAUAUAUCAAAGUUCAUUCUACCAACUGACUUAGCUUGCAUACUACUUAAAAUAGCUAAAAGUUAUAAUAAGAUUACUAGUCUACGCUCCACUAAUUUUGCACUUCUAAUUUUAAAUGCCCAUUAUCUAUAAAUGGCUUUCUAGAUCAAACCACACUCAUUGCCAAACCUGUACAUGUCAACACAAAACAGAUUCUAUUUCACACAGUCAAAUAUAACAUAUAACAUGCACCCAUCAUGUCUAUCACGCCUACAAAUUGAGCCCAACAGAGUUUAUAUUUACAGAUUAAGCUAACAAACAUGACUUAAGCACAUGACGAUUCACAUUUCAAUCAAAAUCCCCUGUAUUAGCAUUCCAGAUAACAAGGCAUGCCAUUAAUCACACUUUUCAGAAACACAACUUUCAACGUCAACACAUUGACAUAAUGCAGUCAAUUACCGAAUACUAUGCCUUUUCCUAGCAUCGAAAGCAUUAUACUAAUCCACAUUAUAUCAAAUUUACAGUCACAACCAUUCUCAUAAUAAAUUUCCCAUUCAAAAUGCAUAAAACAACAUAAACCCUACUUUCAAAACACACAAAGCAAGAUUAGUUCCCCAUACCUGUUCGAUUUUCCCUUUACCGCAACCCUCAGUUCGAACUUCAUGUAUCUAGCUCUCCCGCUCCUGCGUUCACUCUCUGACUCGCAAACUCGUUCUCUCAGUGCCUCUCACUCACCAACGAUCUCGCUCGUCACGGAUUGAGCAUUUAGUGCUCUCCCUCGCGCAACCCUCUCCCUCUCACGCCCUUUCCCCGUCGUUAAGGUUUUUCGAAGAAAGAAAGAAGGAGAAGAAAGAAGAGGGAUUAUCGAAAAGGAAAGAAAGGAAGAAAAAUGGACUUCCCCCAAGCUGACCCUGUCUCUCCACUCCUGGCUAAUGGGCUUCGUAGUCUAAGCCCUAAACUAAGCCUGAUGCCCCCAAAAAAUAAAACACAGUAAAUCAAAAAAAUAAAUUAUUUUGUUCCCAGCCAAGUUCAAGCACAAGUACCUUCGUCACACGGACGAGCACAGAACACUUUUAUUAAUUUAAAAUAAAAUAAUUAAACUUCUCAUUCAACUGGAUCUUUCAGUGGUGUCUACUGGGGUCAUAAAUUAUGAAUAUGAAUGAAGUAUGUGGUGAAGAAAGUUUGAUCGAAGACCAUCAAGAUAAUAUAUUGAACCUUGUACUAGAGCAAUGACAAAGAUGAUAAAAGAGGAAAAUGGACCU
rnacentral:lncRNA from 1 species